UACGUAGGCAGCGAGCGUUGUUCGGAGUUACUGGGCGUAAAGCGUGCGUAGGCGGUUUUGUAAGUUUGGUGUGAAAUCUCCCGGCUCAACUGGGAGGGUGCGCCGAAAACUGCAAGGCUGGAGUGUGGGAGAGGUAGGCGGAAUUCCUGGUGUAGCGGUGAAAUGCGCAGAUAUCAGGAGGAACACCGGUGGCGAAGGCGGGUCUCUGGGCCGAUACUGACGCUGAGGUGCGAAAGCGUGGGGAGCAAACAGG
rnacentral:rRNA from 1 species